rnacentral:lncRNA from 1 species
AAAAUGGCUGACAUUCGCUGGCUGCUGCUCCACGUCAACUUUUAAGCAUAUUUACAUGUAAAUAAGGGUAUGACUGCAACUAAUAAUGAAUUGUAAAACUAUUUACGGAUAAGUGCUAUCGAUUUAACGUAAUAAUAGAACUUUUAUGAAGUUAUUUAUGAAGCAAUCAGCCUUCGAUGUUCGUACAUAGAACUUUCGUACCCAGUGUCAGGCAAGAUCAAAAAUUACAACAAGGAACAAUUUCAACAAAUGUCUGGAUACCACAAUAUGAUUGUAACACGUGAAUUGAAGUCAGACACCUUACUGUACCACCAUGCAACAGUAUCAUCUAUCUUCCGUAACUGCCGAACCCCUUUCGUGCAAUGUGAGAAGUGACAGUAAUGCAGAAUACCUACAGACCUUGAAGAGAAAUGAAGAGAUACAGUGCUAAAUUGUUCAACAUGGUGUGUGUGGGAAACAUAGUGGACAGAAAGCAUGUGACAAUGUGAAGUAACAGUAACACAGAAUGGCUGGAGACCAUUAACUUAAAAACUGAAGAGAUGCAGGUCUUUGUUCUAUAUGGUGAUUGAUGGACCCAUGGUGCAGAUUUGAAUCGAUAAGGUGUGAAGUUACAGAAAAGCAGAAUAGCUACAGACCAUUAAAUUUAGAAAAUGAAGAGAUGCAUGUCUCUGUUCAGCAUGGUGUUUAUGGGAAACAUUGUAGGUCACAGACCUCUGUUCAGCGUGGUGUAUAUGGGAAACAUUGUGGGUCACAGACAUGAAAUGGUUUGUGUGAAGUAACAGUAAAGCAGAAUGGCUACAGACAAUUAGUUCAGAAUUGAAGAAGAGAUGCAGGUCUUUGUUCUAUAUGGUGUAUGAGGGAACCAUGGUGGAAAUUUGGAUUUCAUGGCAGUCAUAGAAAUAUCUAAUAAGUCUGUAGGAAAGUGAUGUGUGUACCAGUCUGUCAGACUUUUACCUGUCUGUCCAGUCGACAAAUUCGCAAUAGAUGCGUAGAUUCUCAAAUAAUUUGGCAGAGUUUUCACAGUUACUAAGACAGAUUGCAAAAGAUUUUUGGACUAUAUUCCUGUGCGGAUAGAUUAAAAAACUACUCCAGACUGGUAGACAUGACAGAUGUUUAUUGGAAAUAUGAACAUGGACUUAAAACUUUGAUGUGUAGCAAAAAAAUUCAUCGUUGAUGAUAGUGAUUUUCUAAGCUAUAUUGACUGGAACAGGGUUGUUCUUUACAAAUACAGAGCUGUCAAUGCUGCAAUUUUGUUGUGAAAGUCACAAUUCAUGUCAGAAGGUGCUUGUUUUAUAUACAGCAAAGACCAAGAAAUUGUACUGGGCCGACACCUACAUGUAUAUGGGAAAUAGUUAAUUUUGAAUAUCUCAGCAACCAAAGGGUUUACAGCAAUGGAACUUCACACACUAGUAGCUGAUAACAAUAGAAACCAGUGGAUAAAAGGAUUUUAUCAAGUACCCAAAAACAUGAAAUGAGAGCGCUUGAACAGUGUAAAGUUUGUCGCAUAGAUGGGGAUUGACCGCCUUUAUGUAUAUAUAAGUCUACAACUUCUCAGAUUUGACUGAAGACAAUUGUUUGGUGUUGGGAAUAGAGAAAUAUAUUCAAGGUAGGGCAGUUUUCCAAAAACGCAACAAGAAGUUCACAUUUGUUGCACAGAUUUGUGUCUCACAUGUAUGGAGUUGAAGGAAUAGUUAUAGAAAAAGGGUACAGAAUAUGUAAGGAUAUGGUAUGUUCCUGCUGAAAAAAAUUAGG